GACAGAGGGUGCAAACGUUGUUCGGAAUUACUGGGCGUAAAGCGCGUGUAGGCUGCUCGGAAAGUCGGAUGUGAAAGCCCUGGGCUCAACCUAGGAAGUGCAUUCGAAACUUCUGAGCUGGAGUGCUGGAGAGGAAGGCGGAAUUCUCGGUGUAGAGGUGAAAUUCGUAGAUAUCGAGAGGAACACCGGUGGCGAAGGCGGCCUUCUGGACAGUAACUGACGCUGAGGCGCGACAGCGUGGGGAGCAAACAGG
rnacentral:rRNA from 1 species